rnacentral:sRNA from 1 species
GCCGGGCUAAAGUUCAGGGGAGUUAGCGAGUGAGGAAGCGAGGAACCUUUUUUAUUAUUUAUUUAUUCUUCUCGAUUCGAUUCUUGAAUUCUGAUCCUUUUUUUGAUAUGGUUUUUUUUUUUAAAUGGCUUUUUCAAGUUUUUAUUACUACUCUUAUGUAUUUUAUUCAAGUUAGUUAGCUACUAGGAAAGGUCCGAGUUGAAAUAAUUCCCUUUUCACAGGAAAAUCCCAUGGCCAGGAAUUUUCCAUAGUUGGGCAUGGCAUUGCAUUCGGUUGGGGUGGUGGCCAUGGUGGUUGGGCUGUGUGAUUCAAGAUGGAAUGAAUUAUAUAUACUACUG